rnacentral:rRNA from 1 species
UACGAAGGGGGCUAGCGUUGCUCGGAAUCACUGGGCGUAAAGGGUGCGUAGGCGGGUCUUUAAGUCCGGGGUGAAAUCCUGGAGCUCAACUCCAGAACUGCCUUUGAUACUGAAGAUCUUGAGUCCGGGAGAGGUGAGUGGAACUGCGAGUGUAGAGGUGAAAUUCGUAGAUAUUCGCAAGAACACCAGUGGCGAAGGCGGCUCACUGGCCCGGUACUGACGCUGAGGCACGAAAGCGUGGGGAGCGAACAGG